rnacentral:rRNA from 1 species
AGCGAACGCUGGCGGCGUGCCUAACACAUGCAAGUCGAACGUGAACGGGGGCAACCCCUAGUAAAGUGGCGCACGGGUGAGUAAUGCGUAGGUAAUCUACCUCAGAGUUUGGAAUAACCUGCCGAAAGGCGGGCUAAUACUGGAUAGAGCGACGGAAUCCGUAAUUGGGUUUUUUGGGAAAGGGAGCCCGCAAGGGCCUUCGCUUUGGGAUGAGCCUACGUCCCAUCAGCUAGUUGGUAAGGUAACGGCUUACCAAGGCUAUGACGGGUAGCUGGUUUGAGAGGAUGAUCAGCCCCCCUGGAACUGAAACACGGUCCAGACUCCUACGGGAGGCAGCAGUGGGGAAUUUUGCGCAAUGGGCGAAAGCCUGACGCAGCCCCGCCGCGUGAGUGAAGAAGGCCUUCGGGUUGUAAAGCUUUGUCGAGCGGGACGAACAUUUCAUGGGUUAACAGCCCAUGGAACUGACGGUACCGCUAAAGGAAGCACCGGCUAACUCCGUG